rnacentral:lncRNA from 1 species
AUGUCCAAGAUACUCUGCACAAAGAAAUACAAAGUCUUCAUCAAAAGCCUAGGAUCCAUAGUCAAACCACUCUGCUUGUGUGACCUUCAGCAAGGCACUACCAUGGCCCUUGCUGGGGCUCAGAACCUGUCAUCCCAAAAUAUGACAUCUUGUUCUGCUGAGUGCUUUCAAUGUAAGGAAAUUGGAAGGGUCUCAGAAGCAAGAAGUACUUCUUCACAGCUGAUCCUGCAUUGAAUCCAAGCAUAAAACUGUAAAGUCUUCCCUGAGUCUUCGGGCUUUCAUUUCUGAAGUCUCCUGUGUCGUGUUCUACAUGUCAUAACAAAUGAAAAUUUGCUAUGCGUUUAUCUUGCUCACCUGUCUUUUGUUGUGGGACUGUCAGGUAAGACCCUUGCAAUGUGUGGGGAAAAGAUAUUACCUUUUCACUUCUAUAGUCUCAAGACCUAGCACCAUAUCUACUACAUGUUGAAUUAAUGAAGUUGGAUGAUUGAAUGACUAUUAUCCCAAUCUUUGCCACUGAUUUGGCUAUUUAAGCAGAUAAUAUUUUCCUCCUAAAUAUUCCCCCCAUGCCAUACUGAAAGUCACAGAAUAUCAUUUUUGCAGAAGAAUAGCUUUCCUCAGUCAAGGCUAAAUAAGGAAGAGGAAUCGACAGCAAAUACCUCCCAUUCAAGUUAGAAUAAACAUGAUUUUAUCUUAGCCACAUAAAUGUUCAGACCAGAGGUUUCCAUUUAGAAGAAGCAAAUCAUGACAAGUUCAAAAAACAUUCUUGUUAACACACUCAAAAAUUAUAAUCAAAAUUUGGGCAUCACCUGAAAUCAUAAACUUUUUAAACAAAUAGAAGGAUAUGAGGAUAAGGGGAUGUUUCUAAUUAGAUUCACUUUUCUAAAAUAUUUCACUUACCUUAUUAGUCUGAUGCUCACAGGCAUAAGUUCACUGUGUGAUUUGUGAUAACAUACAUGGGUCUACAGAAUUCAUAGCACUGCAGACUUGGGAAGAGUCUACAUAUCCAGUGCAUGGCCCAGAGCAGCAGUGUUUAUUUCAGCUAGUAACUAACAUGAUAAAUGAUGUGCCACCCUCUGUCACUACUGGCCGUUAGAAAUGCUGGCUGACCAUCAGCCCAGAGCUCAAUUCCCACAGGUUCCCUGCCAAACUAUUUGAAUAAACCUAGGCGAGUUUACAAUUUCUGCUUUGGCUGAAAAAUAUCUUUCACUUGGCAGUGUACGUUUCAGAAUGUUUGAGGGUGAACUGUUGGUUUCUAUGACUAAAUUAGUCAUUUUAGGUCUUUUUAAAACACCUUUCUUGAAGUAUAAUUCGCAUACCAUAUGAUUUUCCCCUUGCUUUCAGUAUAUUUACAGAGUCGUAUAAUCAUCACCACAACCAAUUUUCUAAUAUUUGCAUUAUUCCAAAAAAAAAACAACAAAACAAAACUCUGUACCCCAAGUCAUCCCACCUCACCUAGCCCUACGUAAGCACUAGUGAUUCUCCUUCCCUGCUAGGUGGAGCUGUUUUCAAUGUCAUUUGUUUGUUUAUUUGUUGGUGACAUGGCCAGUCUAUUUUAAUGAAGUCUGUUUCCCUGCAGUGUCUCUCCUAAGGAGGGCACAACUUUGGACAUGCAUAGAUACUUGGGACAACAGUGGUUUUAGCAGAGCUCUCUGUCCUUUUUCCUGAUCUCUCUGUUAAGCUGCCUGUCUUACUUGAUAUCACAUCCACCUGUGGGCCUACUGCUUAUCAGCUGAUUGCUCUGUUGUUUUUGACAAUGCCCUGGGGCAUAAAUUGCUCUUUAGUAUGAACUGAUGAAAUCCAUGUAGUAGUCGUUUUGUUUCUUGUUUUGAUUUUGUUUUAAGACACAGUCUUGCUCAGUCCCCCAGGCUGGAGUGUUGUGGGGUGAUCUCAGGUCACUGCAACCUCCUCCUCCUGGGUUCAAGAGAUUCCUCUGCCUCAGCCCCGUGAGUAGCUGGAAUUACAGGUGUCUACCACCAUGCCCAGCUAAUUUUGGUAUUCUUAGUAGAGAUGGGGUUUCACCAUGUUGGCCAGGCUGGUCUUGAACUCCUGACCUCAGGUGAUCCACCCACGUUGGCCUCCCAAAGUGCUGGGAUUACAGGUGUGAGUCACUGAGCCCAGCAGCAGUAGUCCUUUGUAAGGACAAUUUUUGAGUUUUAUCACAACCCCAGGAGGUUACUUACUAUCUUUUUCUCUUACUCUGUCUGGCGAACUAGGUGGCCUAUGGUUAAACUUUUUGCUAUCACUUAAAAAGAGCUAUUUGUUUUCACAAAUACCCUUAGACUUGAACUUCACCAUAUUCUGUUUAAAAUAAAAUCAAUUCCUUUGGGGGCAUUCAGAAGACUCUUUUCCUGUGGAUUCUCCUUUCAUUUGGUUAAGAUGUCUCAACCCUACUCCAGGCACUGGAUGGAGGAGUUAGCCUCUGGUCCUCUGGACUUUUUGUUUUGACUCUCCUGGUGUGGAAUGCUACCCAGAGAUUGAGUUCAUGUCAGGAAAAUUGGAACCUCAAUAUUCUUGCCAGCCAAGCACAGAGUAGAUACUCCAUCCUUAGUGGGAGCUCGGGGGAGGCAGAUAGCCACCAACCCUUUGGUGACAUGCAUCUGGAAUAUAUCCUCUUCGUGGAGUUGGAGAGAAUGAAAAAUGUUGGUGGCCUCCCCCUCCCAAUAAAAUAUGGCAACUCUUGAUCAGAAAUUGAAAAGAGAAGGAGCUCAUCUUUUUGACAAUUUGGAUUGAAGUUUCUGUUAGGCUGAGCUUAGGGUAAAGAGGAAGAGUGUAGAAAGUGCUCAAAUGUUGCAGACUCUCAUUGUUCUGUGUUUUAGUAGAUCUUCUUGAAGAGAUGUUUCUUCAUUUGCUGUAUGCCAUUUGGACAAUUUCCACAGGCUAGAUUUGGAGGCAAAAAAAGUAAAACUGUUGUUCACUGGCUUUGCUUGUCUUGUUGCUGGAGAGUGGGAAACAGACCUUGUAAUGAUGUCAUCUCAGAAGUGGAACUCUGAUCCCUUUCAAGUUUUUUUCUUGAGCAUUCCUCUUUCUUGUUUGAACUCUAUGAAUAACUAAUGUUGAAACCAAUGGCAAGGAAAAUUCGGUGUUUCUUUAAAGCCAUUUAAGUUGCAAUUAAGUUACUCUAUUAUUGCUGUUUUACUGCUGGAUAAAAAAUUUACUAAAGAAUUUUUAAUAAAUAGGUAAAUAAGGAAUUUUAAAAGAAAAUUCACAUAAAUAAAAAUAUACUCAUGUAAUAAAC